UAAAUAUGAAUGGUUUGCCCUAACGGAGAAGACCUUUCAAGACACUCGACUGAGGUGUGUCAUGUGUAGAGGGAGUGGGGAGUCUAAAUAUCAUGUUUUUUUAUUUAUUUAUUUUUUAUUUUAUAUAUAUAUCUCCCCAACCUUGGCAUUAUGGUAUGGAUUGUUCAUACUUGUGGGAAUUGAUUGGAGGAGAUGUUGAUUAUAAUCCUUUAGAGGUUUUGGGGCACUUCCUCGAGGCAAGACUCUUUGGCUCAUUUCUAGCCUUACUUUGAUUUGGGAUUAUUUGGUGGGGAAGUAAUGCAAGAAUUUCUUAGGAUAGGUGAAAGUCUUGAGAAGUAGUUUAGAACUUGUUUUACUUCUCUUCUUCCCUGUGUAUUUCUGCUAGUGAAGCUUUUGCAAGCAUCACUUUGAGUCUCAUUCUACUAGAUUGGAAUUAGUUUGCUGAACCUUGACUAAGGAGAGACAUUCUGAACGGUUACUACCUCCAGUGGGUUUUGUUAAGCUAAAAUUUGAUGGACGUUCUUUGGGCAACCCAGGGCAGUUGAGGAUUGGAGGAUUGCUUAGGGAUCACUUUGGCACAGUGGUAAGAGCAUUCUCUAAACUUGCAGGUCAAGGCUUAGUCAUUGGGGAAGAGAUUCUAACCCAUUUCGAAAGGUUGUUGCAGGCAAAAGGUUUAGGCCUUUCCAAUUUCCUAGGAGGAGGAGAUUCUGCUAUGAUAUGCUUGCUAUUGUCAUAUCAUAGGCAGCUAAAGAAAGAGGACCUUGGAAGUUUGAUUAGUGAUUGUGCCAAAUUAUUGAUAUUUCUUUAGAGUUGGGAUGCUCUUCUCUUGGGGCUAGACAUUUUGGGCAAAGAUGUGUUAACGUGUGGGGCUAGACAUUUGUUUUCUUUUGUAGGAGACUUUAUAUUUCCAUGAAUUAUAUAGGUAGCAUUGUCCUAAUCAUUUGAAUGUGUUCAGAUAGAUUUGUCUUUUUGAACUGGUAUGCACUUAACUUUGUCUUUUUGAACUAUCUAUCAAAAAAAAAAAAGUCUUUUUGAACUGGUAUACACUUACCCGCCUCUUUUGUUAGACUUUCUGUAGGGGAUUUUGUACGUCUAGGAAGGAUUUCUAAUCAUUCUUUGUACUUACUCUUUCAAUGCAAUGAAAUUCUUGUUUCUGAUGAAAAACAAAAGAGGAAAAGAAAAAGCAUACCUUCUUUACAAUUUUUAAAUUGCAGGGUGAUAGCCAGAGAAGUGGAAUAAGUUUGCCUAGGGUUUCCAGUGGUAGCUGGCAUGGGAUCUAGGUUUCUAUAAAACUUUUACAGGUUUCUUCAAACACUUGCAAUUAGGGAUUUGCAAAUAGGCAGUUGUCACAUUUUAAAUUAUUUGCUAUGUUGUCUAGGAAACCCAUUAGAAUUAUCUGAAAUUAAACCCACCUGAUAUAAAUGUUUAACUAAUCAUUCCUUUGUUUGAUAAUGCCUUCUAAGAUAAAUAUUGUGACCUAGUUUCUAGACACUUCAACACUUUUUCUGUUUCUCUGUAUCCUAAAAUUGGAGGUUCAACAAAUCUAACACCUAGACAGGCACAACCAAGUGGAAAUUCUGCCUAAGGUGAUGUAAAACAUAGAUAUUACAUAUAUAUAUAUUUUGCAAUAAAUAUAUUGCAAACUUGUACAAGGCAUGCUUUAUCUGCAGCAUGCUGAACAGUUGAAUAAGUGGGCAUAGAAUGCCUAUGGCUUUAAUGAGGAUGUAGAGAAGAUGAAUGGAAAGAUGAGAAAGGAUACAAACUAGAAUUGACGGGAUUAAUGUGAAACUAGGAGCAGCACCAUGGGUGUUAGCUGAGGUGAUCUGAUUUUGUUUAUCAAUUCUAAGCUAGUGCCUGUAUCUCAAGUGCUAUGGUUAUACUGCUAUGUGUUGCAAGGACAAGUAAGAUGAAAAGACAGCAAAUUAAGGCUAUAAGAAGUGACAUAAUAACCUUUUAUGUGACAGUAUAUAUGGCUAUUGCUGUUCUUCCAUUUUUUUCAAGUCCUGGUCUCUGAAAACUACAUGUAAAAGAAACAGGGUGCUUAUUAGGAGUCUUAAAUUUUUUCAGAUUAAGAUGUCCCUUUCUAGAUGACAUGUUUUUGGCAUUAUCUGCAGGCUAAUUGCCCCUUCAAUACUAUGACUUGGGUAACAUAUUGAUGUGAUUUUCUGUAAUGCAUCUUCCUUGAGCCUUUUUAUUACUGACAUUGUGAAACAUUGAUUCCUAACCAUUAGUCCUUAUUUGAAGUGUUAUUCUAUGUUCGCUAGAAACUUCGUAGGCAUUUUUAUAUGCAUCUCUAAUUUGUCUAUCCUCAGAAAAGGAAGUCCUCAUUAUAUUUCAAUUUCCAUUCUUCGUUUAUGAUUUUUAUAAAUAAGGUUUAUAUUUACUACAAAAAUAUAUGGUUUUGGGCACAUGACUUUCAUUGUGUUACAUCUUGUCAACAGCCAUAUUUUGACUAUAUUGUGUUACAUCUCUCAUCUUUUAGAGGUAGGCUGGGGGUGGAUGUGUCAUAGGGACUUGAUGAAGUUCCCUUUUUCAUCAGUUCUUUUAGGUGUGCCUUGUAUACUGUAUGGCUAUUUGGUGGGUGUUCUUGUAUUUUUCCCAUGUAUUUGGGUUGCAGUGCCUUUGUCGUCAGGUUCUUUUAAUAGUUUUCUUCCUGGUUAGAAAAACAGAUUUUAAAAUUGAUCAUAUGUUCAAUUUCAGGUCAAAGAAAAUUCUGCUGCUGCAGGGCCAAGCGCCUCAACAAGUGCUGUUGCUGAUUCUGAGGAAGCGCUUCCCGAUGAGGAUGAGGAGGAUGAUGAUGAGCUGGACAUGGAUGAGUUAAAUGAGCUCGAAGCCAGUUUGUCAAGAACAUCUAUUCAAAUUCGUGAGCCAGGUGUUGAGGCUUCAUCUUGAGCAUUUGAGAGAGAGAGAGAGAGAGGAGAGGAGUGAGAGAGAACUGGCAACUUGCAUGCAUUUUAAGAGGAAUUACCAAAACUGUCCGGCUAGCUAAUUAACAACUUCUAGGGGGAAUAAUCUGUGUUGUAAUUUGGGAUGAUGAUCUUUUCUGUCUUGUACUUUGUUGUGUUUGGUCUGGGAUUACGGCUAAAUAUUUGGUAUAAGGCGGCAUCCAUUUUUUGAUUCAGGCUUUGCCUUUGUUGUCAACAUCAGGUCCUCACCGAGCAUCAGUGCUCAGGAAUUACCUCCGCUUGACAUCUCUGUUAACUUAGGAUCUGGUUGGAUACAUUUUCUGAUUAUGUUUUAAAAAUAAAAAACUUGAAAAUUGAAAAUUUAAGGUAGUAGAAAUUUUUUGAUACCUCAAAUCUUUUUUAAAUCAUUAUUUUUUUUCAUGAUAUGAAGUAUAUGAAACUUAAUGACCCUUAUCUAUUCCCUUGAGCUGAUCUUACACGCAUAAUUUUAGUAGUCAAUGAUCUCAAGUAAGUCUGUUGAUGAUAGGGGGAAAAAUUGGGAGUUUUGGAAGGCACUGAACAUGUUUUCAAGGUCAGGAUUGUAAGCCAACCGAUAUAAUAAUAUUAUUUGGAGUUGGAUUCUUCAGUGUGCAUGGUGGUGCAGUUCUGUAUAUUUUGCUGCUAUGGGUCCUUUGGGGUUGGAUUGGAAUCUCAGUGAGAACUUUAAAACCAUGCAACCCCACUCACAAAGUGACGUCCACUUGUCAUCUCAUCAUAUAUGCCGUGAAAUUGUGUGCUUCUUUUCCUUUCUUUUACUUCUGGAUGGUUAUGUCAUAGAGAUGUGGUUUGCAG
rnacentral:lncRNA from 1 species